rnacentral:rRNA from 1 species
GACGAACGCUGGCGGCGUGCUUAACACAUGCAAGUCGAACGGAAAGGCCCUGCUUGCAGGGUGCUCGAGUGGCGAACGGGUGAGUAACACGUGGGUGAUCUGCCCCUUACUUUGGGAUAAGCCUGGGAAACUGGGUCUAAUACUGGAUAGGACCAUGCUGUAGGUGGUGUGGUGGAAAGAUUAGUUUCGGUAAGGGAUGAGCUCGCGGCCUAUCAGCUUGUUGGUGGGGUAAUGGCCUACCAAGGCGUCGACGGGUAGCCGGCCUGAGAGGGUGGACGGCCACAUUGGGACUGAGAUACGGCCCAGACUCCUACGGGAGGCAGCAGUGGGGAAUAUUGCACAAUGGGCGCAAGCCUGAUGCAGCGACGCCGCGUGGGGGAUGACGGCCUUCGGGUUGUAAACUCCUUUCAGCCAUGACGAAGCCCUUGUGGUGACGGUAGUGGUAGCAGAAGCACCGGCUAACUACGUG